GCGAUGAGUAAAGCUCAUGUUCCCCUUUACGAGGUCCUCAUCCAGCAACCGCAUUUGAUUACAGUAAAGCUCAGAGCGGGGAACUUUUUUACAGGAUUACCGCCAGUUUCCUCCAGCACACAUACACAAAGUCAUUCACUGCUAGAUGCUAGACCGUCUCUGUGAAACCUGAGUGGGUGAAGCUAUAAUGAGCAGUAUGAAGAGAUGAUGAUGAAGACUCGCUGAAGCAGUGAAAGAAAACAGCAGGGAGUCUCCAUCUCCAUUCACUGAUCCUAUUCUCCCAUUUGUCUUUAAGGAUUUGGUUUGAUCUUGGAGAAACUAAAGAGCAAAUGUACAGAUUCAUUCCUGUGAUUAACUCCACAAACAUCCUCCCGGCAAGGAUCGUGGGAUAUUUCUGAAGAGCAAGAAGGAUUAUGACGAGAGAAUUACAUUCAUUGGAGUAUGCAAAGCUUUUGGAUUCUACAUCACACCACUUAUCUUGCAUUCAUUUAACACAGUCUACUUCACCCCUUUUCAUUUUAUGUGGCAUUUCAUUCACACAUCUUUAAAUGCAAACUAUUUCAUUUACAAGUAGAGAAAUGUCAGACAGAGGGCUAAAUUGUUCAUCUUUCAAAGGCACUUUACAAACCGCACAAUUUGAUUUCCUAAAAUUGCUUAACCAUCUGCGCUUCACUUGGGUGGCAAGUUUUAAGACUAAAUGAGGGAGUAGGAGUUAAACUGUCUGUGUUACCUAAUCAGCUAUGCGGUUAAGAUUCAAACCAAAUGCACAUGCUGCUAUACACCACUUACAAAACAGCACAAUGUUUUUUUUAGGUACUUUCAUGUUGUGCUUGUGCAAAUACUCUUAAAAAUAAAGGUGCUCCCUGAUGUCAUACAUUCUCAGAAAAAAGGUAUAAAAGUUGUCAAUGGGACGGUACAUUAAAAAAAUCCUAAUUUGUACCAUUUAGGUGCAAAUAUGUACCUUUGAGGUACCAAUAUGCAACUUUUAGGUACAAAGUGUAUUUUUUGUAAAGGUACCGCCCCAGUGACAACUUUUGUACCGUUUUGUAUCUUUUUGUUUGUAGACAAACCAUUUUUUGCUGUAUGGUUUCAUAAAGAACCCUUCUAUUUAGAGAAAUAUUAAGCCACAAAUCGUUCCUCUAUGGCACCUUUAUUUUAAAGUGUAUGCAGCACUUUGGCAUGUAUUAAAAUACCAUAGUUGAAGAAACAUCCUUAUCACAGCUACUGUAUUUACACUAUUAUUGAAGGAAAUACGUAAUAGCAACUGUUAAUUUUAGAGUCUUGUAUCUUUCCUUCCUUUUUAAGAGAGAAAAAUUCCCGCAAGUUUCUUAUCUGUAUGUGCUGGAUAAUAAGGGGGGAAAUACCUCAAGUUAAGCCAAGCAUACAGGAGGCAGGAGUUGGGGUGGCGGGGGUAACCGACUUCUUGUUGUGGCUGUGUGGGUUCCUGGCAUGUUGAUUUGUGACUUUAAUGAAAAAUCACAUUGCCAGGGAUUACCACAUUGCCACCGCCUUACUGCCAGUCCCAGGACUGUGAGUAGAAUAGAAAAAAAUUGAUAAAAGAGCAUCCAACUUGAGGGUAACGGGGAAAUUAUAUUUGAAGAAAAUACAACUGCACUGUCUUUCUGAGCGGGUGCAGAGCUUAGCUGAUUGGUGAACGUGUAUGGUCUGUUUUCUUGUUCACAGUGGCUAAGUUCUUCAUCUGGAAAGAAAAUUUGUAUGCACUUUUUUAUGUUGAAAUGAUUGUAAAAUCCAGGCUUUACAGAAAUAUACUGGAUGGGAUUUCAGACAAAACAGUAUUUUAAGUAUCUGUAAAGUCAGAUAUUAAAUGUGUUCAGAGUAGGGUUGCAAAUAAGGGGCGGUAAAUUUUCGUAAACUUUUUCAUGGAAACAUAAUAAUAUGGAAAUAUUCCAAAUGGGAAACUUGACGGGAAUUUAGGAAUUAUUUGGAAAUUUAGGAAAAUUUAUAAAAACUAUUAAAACAUGCCAGCGUGUGA